rnacentral:rRNA from 1 species
GGUUGCGAUCAUACCAGCACUAAUGCACCGGAUUCCAUCAGAACUCCGCAGUUAAGCGUGCUUGGGCGAGAGUAGUACUAGGAUGGGUGACCCCCUGGGAAGUCCUCGUGUUGCAACCCCC